CAGGCUCAGAGCAUCCCAAACCCCUUGGCAUCUCCACACUCCAGCCACUGGCAAACUUGGUUGUGUGUCAACGAAGAAUGUCUCAGCAGAAGCAGAAGCAGUGCUGCCCCCCACCCCAGCA